rnacentral:rRNA from 1 species
UACAGAGGGGGCAAGCGUUAUUCGGAAUUAUUGGGCGUAAAGGGCGCGUAGGCGGCUUGGCAAGUGGAUGGUGAAAUCCCUCGGCUUAACCGGGGAACUGCGUCUGAUACUGGAUGGCUUGAAUCCGGGAGAGGGAUGCGGAAUUCCAGGUGUAGCGGUGAAAUGCGUAGAUAUCUGGAGGAACACCGGUGGCGAAGGCGGCAUCCUGGACCGGCAUUGACGCUGAGGAGCGAAAGCCAGGGGAGCAAACGGG